GAUGAACGCUGGCGGCGUGCCUAAUACAUGCAAGUCGAGCGAACAGACGAGGAGCUUGCUCCUCUGACGUUAGCGGCGGACGGGUGAGUAACACGUGGAUAACCUACCUAUAAGACUGGGAUAACUUCGGGAAACCGGAGCUAAUACCGGAUAAUAUAUUGAACCGCAUGGUUCAAUAGUGAAAGACGGUUUUGCUGUCACUUAUAGAUGGAUCCGCGCCGCAUUAGCUAGUUGGUAAGGUAACGGCUUACCAAGGCAACGAUGCGUAGCCGACCUGAGAGGGGGAUCGGCCACACUGGAACUGAGACACGGUCCAGACUCCUACGGGAGGCAGCAGUAGGGAAGCUUCCGCAAUGGGCGAAAGCCUGACGGAGCAACGCCGCGUGAGUGAUGAAGGUCUUCGGAUCGGAAAACUCUGUUAUUAGGGAAGAACAAAUGUGUAAGUAACUAUGCACGUCUUGACGGUACCUAAUCAGAAAGCCACGGCUAACUACGUG
rnacentral:rRNA from 1 species